CCUUGAAACGCGUCUAGAAUUGUGUAUUCUACUUGCAUCUAUCUAUAAUCAUCUCCAUAUCCCAGCUCUAUACCGAACUCUAUUUGAAACAGCUGGAAGCCCCCAGUAUUGGGACCACUGCGGCUUCACUGCCACUCUGCGCGCGUGCAAGCGCUCAACUACACGGGGCGUGCUGCACGCACUCCCACUGCUACCUUGAACGCACCGCUUUAUUCCACCAGCCAAGGGCCUUCGGCUUACCUACGAGGCCGGUGCCAUCCGUGCCAGCCGCGGACCUUGCGGAGAGGACAACUCCAGCGCUACCUAUAACGCUGCCGGACACAGGAGAUACAGACCUUCACUGCCGGAGGCCUGACACCUCUGUGCCACAUCGCCGAAACAGCUCCUCUGCCGAUACCAGCAAUACCAGCGGUCGCAAGGGUGCAAUUAAAGUUGUGUGGAUCAUCACAGAUCAUCACAGAUAUUAGACUGGUCUGCAGCUAAGCUGCUACAGGAUGACUCGCCAAACAUUAUCGUGGGAGGAGACCGGAACACAGUGGCGAAUACGGUAGAGGAUAGGAGGAGGACACAGAGGUUACACCCGGGAACUUCCAGAGAGGAACGUAUGCUGCCAGAUUUACUCAUGUCCAUGUCCUUGACAGAUGUAUGGAGCAGCAGAGCAGUGGAGGUGACAGCACACAAGAGCAGGUAGCAGGUCACAAAGGAUCUGUUUGAUGUAAAG